AUUAAUACUAUAAUUUAAGGUAAAAAAAUAAACUAAAUACAUCACAUUACACUUAAUCUCCAUUAAGUGAUCUAAACUCUCUAUGUUAAGUAGAGAAAACAAGGAUUAUGGUCUGAAACGGAAGCCAGGCUAUUGAUAGGAUAAGAAUUCAUUGAACAGAGUUCCCCAAACUGUAUGGGCAUCUGAAGAUCAUCAGCAGCAACCGGUUUUUUCCUAGAAACCAACGCCUUUGUUCCCCCGCAUUCAAAGCCGACCGCCUCACCUUUGCUUUCAAACUCUCCUCUCCUACCCAUUCCCAAUAAAUAUUUCAGUCAUAUUCCCAAUAGAUUUAAAAGCCGGCCACCGCAACCCCCCUUUGUUGUACGGCAAAAUCACUCCCCUCUCACACAUAAUUUUAACUCGUACAGUGCAGGUCUUAUCCUGGAUGUUUGAUAUUAAUAUAUGAGUUGGACGGUGAUGAUAGAUGACAUAGUUGUAUCGAAGUUGAUGCCCCUACCACCGCCAGUGCUUUUUUUCUCUGAGGGCGGAGUAAAAGGGGUCCAAUCAAAGACAUUAAUGGGUGAUGGCAUAUGAGGCAGGCAUAUGAGGCAGGCAGUCCCUGUUAGAGUGGAAGAGAGCAAAGAGGAACCGUGCGAAUAGUGUUCAGUUUUUAUUCAGAUUCGAUACUUGUUACUCAAGUUUGAUUCCGUUCUUAAAUAGUAUUUUAUUUUAAACAUUAUCCUAGCGGUAGAUUACUCACCCCAUCAAAUUCAUCCUUAAAACCUAGGAAACUAUUUCUUUCACAACAAGAUGAACCGAAGGAAAAGCAAAAGAGGGCCAUCAUCGGCUAACCGAUCUAUUCAAAUAAUGCUCACUACAGCGUGGAAUAUUAAGUAAAUAACAAUAUUGAGUCUCCC
rnacentral:lncRNA from 1 species